UACGUAGGGUGCAAGCGUUGUCCGGAAUUAUUGGGCAUAAAGAGCUCGUAGGCGGUUUGUCGCGUCUGCUGUGAAAACCCGAGGCUCAACCUCGGGCCUGCAGUGGGUACGGGCAAACUAGAGUGCGGUAGGGGAGAAUGGAAUUCCUGGUGUAGCGGUGGAAUGCGCAGAUAUCAGGAGGAACACCGAUGGCGAAGGCAGUUCUCUGGGCCGUAACUGACGCUGAGGAGCGAAAGCGUGGGGAGCGAACAGG
rnacentral:rRNA from 1 species